rnacentral:rRNA from 1 species
GACAUAGGUGGCGAACGUUAUCCGGAAUUAUUGGGCGUAAAGGGUGCGUAGGUGGUUGAAUAGGUUAUUGGUGGGAAACCGGGGCUCAACCCCGUGGAAGCCAGUAAUACUAUUCAACUAGAGGACCGGAGGGGUUAACGGAAUUCUAUGUGUAGCGGUAAAAUGCGUAAAUAUAUAGAGGAACACCAAUUGGCGAAGGCAGUUAACUAUUCGGUUCCUGACGUUGAGGCACGAAAGCGUGGGGAGCAAGACGG